rnacentral:rRNA from 1 species
AUGGAGACCGGGCCGGACCUCCUAGUCAUGGCGGCGGAGCUCGCCCGUGCCGUGGUGGUCACGGUGGUGGGGUGGCGAGAGGACGCCGACCUUGCGACGGUGGCAGCUGUCAUCCAUGAGGAAUUUGUGGUGGGUUCUUUGGACAUGUUCAUCGGGUCUUACUUCCCCGAGGAUUUCCUGGUGCUCUGCCGCUCGCCGGAGCUACGCAACAGGAUGAUCCGUCGUGGCGGCGCCGGCUCCAGGAGGUUUGACUUGCUGCUGAGGCCCUGGUUGCGCCAGGCAAAUGGAACUGGCAUUCCGAUGCCAUUCUUGGUCCCGCUGGCACUACGUGGUGUGCCAGCAAAUGCAUGGACGAGGCGCACCGCCGAUGUGCUUCACCAUGGGCUCGGCAUCGUCGUCAAGGUGGAUGCUUCUACGGAGGCUAGAAGCGACAUGUCAGACUUCAGGAUGUGGCUGCGUACCGACGACCCAGCACGUAUCCUGUUGGGGAACGCGGUAAUUUCAAAAAAAUUCCUACGCACACGCAAGAUCUAUCUAGGUGAUGCAUAG